GACCAGACUCCUACGGGAGGCAGCAGUGGGGAAUAUUGCACAAUGGGGGAAACCCUGAUGCAGCGACGCCGCGUGAGUGAAGAAGUAUUUCGGUAUGUAAAGCUCUAUCAGCAGGGAAGAUAAUGACGGUACCUGACUAAGAAGCCCCGGCUAACUACGUGCCAGCAGCCGCGGUAAUACGUAGGGGGCAAGCGUUAUCCGGAUUUACUGGGUGUAAAGGGAGCGUAGGUGGCAGGGCAAGUCAGAUGUGAAAACCCGGGGCUCAACCCCGGGAGUGCAUUGGAAACUGUCCGGCUAGAGUGCAGGAGAGGUAAGUGGAAUUCCUAGUGUAGCGGUGAAAUGCGUAGAUAUUAGGAGGAACACCAGUGGCGAAGGCGGCUUACUGGACUGUAACUGACGUUGAGGCUCGAAAGCGUGGGGAGCAACCAGGAUUAGAUACCCCCGUAGG
rnacentral:rRNA from 1 species